GUCAGGAUGGCCGAGUGGUCUAAGGCGCCAGACUCAAGUUCUGGUCCUCCAACGAGGGCGUGGGUUCAAAUCCCACUUCUGACA
rnacentral:tRNA from 1 species